rnacentral:tRNA from 1 species
GUUUUAAUAAUUUAAUAUAAAAUAUUGGUCUUGUAAACCAAAAAUGAUAAUCCAAUCUUAAAACU